UUAAAUUGAAGAGUUUGAUCAUGGCUCAGAUUGAACGCUGGCGGCAGGCCUAACACAUGCAAGUCGAACGGUAACAGGAAGAAGCUUGCUUCUUUGCUGACGAGUGGCGGACGGGUGAGUAAUGUCUGGGAAACUACCU
rnacentral:rRNA from 1 species